ACGGGGCGCAGCAGGCGCGAACACUGUGCAAUGCGCGAAAGCGCGACACGGGGAGCUUGAGUGUCUUGGCAUAGCCAAGACUUUUCUCAUUCCUAAAAAGCAUGAGGAAUAAGUGCUGGGUAAGACGGGUGCCAGCCGCCGCGGUAACACCCGCAGCACUAGUAGUGGUCACUUUUAUUGAGCCUAAAGCGUUCGUAGCCGGUUUUGUAAAUCUUCAGAUAAAGCCUGAAGCUUAACUCCAGAAAGUCUGAAGAGACUGCAAGACUUGAGAUCGGGUGAGGUUAAACGUACUUUCAGGGUAGGGGUAAAAUCCUGUAAUCCCGGAAGGACGACCAGUGGCGAAAGCGUUUAACUAGAACGAAUCUGACGGUAAGGGACGAAGGCUAGGGUAGCAAACCGGAUUAGAUACCCGGGUAGUCCUAGCUGUAAACAUUGCCCAUUUGAUGUUGCUUUUCCGUUGAGGGAAGGCAGUGUCGGAGCGAAGGUGUUAAAUGGGCCGCUUGGGAAGUAUGGUCGCAAGACUGAAACUUAAAGGAAUUGGCGGGGGAGCACCGCAACGGGAGGAGCGUGCGGUUUAAUUGGAUUCAACGCCGGAAAACUCACCGGGAGCGACCUUUGGAUGAGAGUCAACCUGACGAACUUACUCGAUAGAAGGAGAGGUGGUGCAUGGCCGUCGUCAGCUCGUACCGUAGGGCGUUCACUUAAGUGUGAUAACGAGCGAGACCCCCAUCUCUAAUUGCCAUCUUGCCUUAGCGGGCAAAGGCACUUUAGGGGGACCGCCAGCGCUAAGCUGGAGGAAGGAGGGGUCGACGGCAGGUCAGUACGCCCCGAAUCUCCCGGGCAACACGCGCGCUACAAAGGACAGGACAAUGAGAUGCAACCUCGAAAGUGGAAGCUAACCUCGAAACCUGUUCGUAGUUAGGAUUGAGGGCUGUAACUCGCCCUCAUGAAUCUGGAUUCCGUAGUAAUCGCAGGUCAACAACCUGCGGUGAAUAUGCCCCUGCUCCUUGCACACACCGCCCGUCAAACCAUCCGAGUUGGUGUCUGAUGAGGGUAUGUCCGAAAGGGCAAACUCAAAUCUAAUGUCAGUGAGGAGGGUUAAGUCGUAACAAGGUAGCCGU
rnacentral:rRNA from 1 species